AGGUGGUUACAUAACAAGCACUCGAUUAGUCAGGUGUUUGUGUCCAUCAGGACUUAAGGCUGAAUUGUACUUGCCUUGAACUACGCGUAUGCGAUUGCAACAUGGCAGUCGCACAGAUCCGUUUGAAGCGUCACUUCCUCCGAAAUGAUCGCUAUGUGUGUGCAUGGCGAAAUACCAAGGUAAAUAUGUGUGGGCAGUACUGUAUGUACUGAAUGUACUGAAUGCACUGUAACGGUGUGUCCACCACUGACACCGGUUUUCCUAUUCCACAGCGUUCGAAUGGUAAAAGUAUAUACAUUUUUACAGAGUUUUAUUUAAAAACUACACAGAGUCACGAGGAGCCUGGAGCCUACCCCAGGGAACUCAAAGCACAGGACGGGGUGCCAACCCAUCACAGGGCACAAUCGCAUACACAUUCACACACUAUGGACAAUUUGGAAACGCCAACCAGCCUGUGAUUCAUGUCUUUGGACUGAAGGAGGAAACCAGAGUACGCGGAGGAAACCCCCGAAGCACAGGGAGAACAUGGGUUGUGGGGGAGCCUGAAGCCUAUUCCAGGGGACUCGGGGCACAAGGCAGGGGACAUCCUGGACGGGGUGCCAACCCAUCGCAGGGCACAAUCGCGCACACAGUCAGACACCCAUUCAUACACUACGGACAAUUUGGAAAUGCCAACCAACCUACAACGCAUGUCUUUAGACCAGGGGGAGAAAACUGGAGUACUUGGAGGAAACCCCCGAAGUGCAGGGAGAACAUGUAAGCUCUGCACACACAGGGCAAAGGCGGGAUUCGAACCCCCACCCCCGGAGGUGUGAGACCACUAAGCCACCGUGCGCUCCAGGGGAAUUUCUUCUAAAGUUAAAUUUCUCUCUUUCUUAUAUUACCUGCAAUGUCUUGUAUUUAAAAUUUCUCAUAUGUGCAAGUUACAGUACUGGAAUGUCAAGAUCAUACUGUUUUGGUCAGUGUCGUUGUGUGUUCAUAAUAGAAUAAUAAAAAUGAGUCAUAUUUACAAUCUUUACAAGUACUGCGAUUCAAAAAACUAAACUGCAAAUUUAAAGCGGAGUGGAUUCACAGAGAGAGAGCUGUGACCACCAACUGUUUUAUCUGAACGCACUGGAACAAAUCAGUCCCCAAAGGAACGCUCGAGAUGGACUCACAGCGAACAUUUCUGUUCAAUGCUACUGAUCUGAUGACCCAUGCUUUCUGAAAGUAAUCAUGCUCGAUCGUGAUGCAGCACGUACACCACUAAAUUAAACACCUUAUGUAACUGUGGUAUUUCAUAACACACUUACUGCAGGCCAAAAUUAUAUACAUAUAUAAAAGCAUAAUUACAGCACAAAUGACCACAAAUACUUUGUUUAGGGGCAGAUUACAUGUUCAAGAAGACAGCGGGCAGGAAAAUUGCGGAAAAUAUCGGCACCUGGUGCUGAAGAUACUGAAAUCAGAGACAAAAGUACGUUACAAAAGAUACAAACGGGCAUAAAAGAGAAUGAACGAUGGUGAAAAUAUGACAGAAAGACAAUGAAAGUCAUCUGACUCUAUCAGAUCGUUCGGAUAAUGCAGGUUUUUCAUCAGCCUAAUUAAAGCUAACACCGCUAUCUCUGGCAGCUACAAGAUUCUGCCAAGAGACACACUUUGAAAAACAACACCUCCUCUGCCAUCUUUCUAUCUCUUUCUGUCUCACAUUCGCUUCUAAGAAACCAUAUCAGCCUUGCCAGCAAUACCAUAAAGCCGUGGACACAGACGGGUCGGUUGCUAUGACAACCAGAUGUUCACACCGUUUCGGUUCAACGGAUUUGAAAAAGCGGGUGAGUACGGAUGAAAACGGAGUACCUCACACGCAGCCUGCUAGU